UACGAAGGGGGCUAGCGUUGCUCGGAAUCACUGGGCGUAAAGGGUGCGUAGGCGGGUCUUUAAGUCAGGGGUGAAAUCCUGGAGCUCAACUCCAGAACUGCCUUUGAUACUGAAGAUCUUGAGUUCGGGAGAGGCGAGUGGAACUGCGAGUGUAGAGGUGAAAUUCGUAGAUAUUCGCAAGAACACCAGUGGCGAAGGCGGCUCACUGGCCCGGUACUGACGCUGAGGUGCGAAAGCGUGGGGAGCAAACAGG
rnacentral:rRNA from 1 species